AUUGAACGCUGGCGGCAGGCCUAACACAUGCAAGUCGAGCGGGGUUUUCGGACCUAGCGGCGGACGGGUGAGUAAUGCGUAGGAAGCUACCCGAUAGAGGGGGAUACCAGUUGGAAACGACUGUUAAUACCGCAUAAUGUCUACGGACCAAAGUGUGGGACCUUCGGGCCACAUGCUAUCGGAUGCGCCUACGUGGGAUUAGCUAGUUGGUGAGGUAAUGGCUCACCAAGGCGACGGUCUCUAGCUGGUUUGAGAGGAUGAUCAGCCACACUGGAACUGAGACACGGUCCAGACUCCUACGGGAGGCAGCAGUGGGGAAUAUUGGACAAUGGGCGCAAGCCUGAUUCAGCCAUGCCGCGUGUGUGAAGAAGGCCUUCGGGUUGUAAAGCACUUUCAGCGAGGAGGAAGGGGUGUGUGUUAAUAGUACACACCUUUGACGUUACUCGCAGAAGAAGCACCGGCUAACUCUGUGCCAGCCGCCGCGGUAAGAC
rnacentral:rRNA from 1 species